CGUACACUCCUGCGGGAGGCAGCAGUGGGGAAUAUUAGACAAUGGGCGCAAGCCUGAUCCAGCCAUGCCGCGUGAGUGAUGAAGGCCCUAGGGUUGUAAAGCUCUUUCACCGGUGCAGAUAAUGACGGUAACCGGAGAAGAAGCCCCGGCUAACUUCGUGCCAGCAGCCGCGGUAAUACGAAGGGGGCUAGCGUUGUUCGGAUUUACUGGGCGUAAAGCGCACGUAGGCGGACUAUUAAGUCAGGGGUGAAAUCCCGGGGCUCAACCCCGGAACUGCCUUUGAUACUGGUAGUAUUGAGUUCGAGAGAGGUGAGUGGAAUUCCGAGUGUAGAGGUGAAAUUCGUAGAUAUUCGGAGGAACACCAGUGGCGAAGGCGGCUCACUGGCUCGAUACUGACGCUGAGGUGCGAAAGCGUGGGGAGCAAACAGGAUUAGAAACCCUUGUAGUCCCAUG
rnacentral:rRNA from 1 species